GGUUGGUCCGAGUGCAGUGGUGUUUACAACUAAUUGAUCACAACCAGUUACAGAUUCCUUUGUUCCUUCUCCACUCCCACUGCUCCACUUGACUAGCCUUAA
rnacentral:Y_RNA from 1 species